rnacentral:rRNA from 1 species
CUGGAAGAAUCUGGAGGACAGGUGCUGCAUGGCUGUCGUCAGCUCGUGUCGUGAGAUGUUGGGUUAAGUCCCGCAACGAGCGCAACCCUUGCCUUUAGUUGCCAGCAGUUCGGCUGGGCACUCUAAAGGGACUGCUGGUGUUAAACCGGAGGAAGGUGGGGAUGACGUCAAGUCCUCAUGGCCUUUAUGACCAGGGCUACACACGUACUACAAUGGCCGAUACAAAGGGCAGCGACACUGCGAGGUGAAGCCAAUCCCGUAAAAUCGGUCUCAGUCCGGAUUGGAGUCUGCAACUCGACUCCAUGAAGUUGGAAUCGCUAGUAAUCGUGGAUCAGCAUGCCACGGUGAAUACGUUCCCGGGCCUU